GCGAGAACAUCACGCGAGAAGACCACUCAAGAAAACCACGCGAGAAGAUCGUGCAGCUGGAAACAGCUGCUGGCGGUAAAGCGUGAGGCUGACGGCGUGAAACUGGGCAGAGCAGGCCGCGACCUGAGGUGCUUGUGGCGGACAAGAGCCUGGGCGCCGAAGCCCUCGCCGGGUGUUCGUUAACAGGCACAAGGCCAUAGUUAGAGAAAGACAGAGCACGGCCAGGUCCCUUCAAAGCCUCCAGUCGACGAAAGGACUGGUUUAGAACUGAAGGCCGCGAGGAAGCUGUCCCUUCUGGGGUCCACGGGUCGGACGCUGAACAUGCACCAGACAGCGGCCCGCGUCCAGGUCAGCCUUCAGCAGGUCGCGUGGCCCUCCCUGAGUGGCUCCCACCAACGGGCCCAGUGUCCGGCUGCUGAACGAAGCAACUGAGAAACCUGGGAGCGCUGGGAUUUCAGCCAGAGCAGGAUGUCAGGGCGGUGGGAAGGCAGGUUUGGCUGAACCACAGGACCGCGGAGCUGGCCGCUCCAGGCUUUUCCAGGUCUGGACUGGCACGAAAUACCUCAGCACCGGAUCAGACUCAAAACGUGAUCAGAGGCCAUGGGCGAAGUGGGUCAGUCCCCAGCACACCAGGCUUGGUGGAGACCAUGAAGCUCACUUAAAAGGACCCGUUCUUGUUUACCCCUCUAAAGCUGUCCACACCCAGCAAGAAUGGUGCUGAAUAAGUGCUUUCGAGUGCUCCAUUCCUGGGGCAGAUCCUAAUAGCUGUGUGAUCAUUGCUGGCCUUCCGCAGGUGCUACCCAACUCAGUGCAGGUUUCCUUGGCUCUUUUAUUCUUUAAUUGACUCGGUGACCAUCUGCCACUGGAUUUUUCACCUAGAUGGGUGGUGGCCACUAUUUGUUCAGUUAGCCCAUCUCCUGGGCUUUGACAGUACAAAACUUGCAUCUAGCCUUUUUAACUAAAGUUAGAUUCAGCUUGUGUUUUGGCUCUUAAGAUUUUGACAAGUUGGCUGCCCUUGCUUGAACUUCUCUCUCUGCAAAUACAAGGUCUAUUGGAAAUCUGGAGUUGUCACUUGUUUCCCCUGGGCAAUCAACUGUACCAUCACAUGGAAUGCUUGCUAUCGCCAUUACUGUAACUCUGGGGACACAGACACCAUAUAACUCUGCCGAGUUUAAAAAAAGGCGGGGGGAGGGACUCAUAACUUAAGAAGCUACCAGGGUUUCAAGUGUGGCCUUCAGGAGCCCAGGACUGCUGAGGCACUAACAUCCGAAAUGCUUGCUGAAAAGAGACAUAAUGUGUAUUGGCAUUAUCAGCAAAAGCGCUUGAGCUGACUCUGUUUUCAUAUUCCUUAACCCAAAUUCCUCUGAAAAUGAAAGUAAAAAUAAAGCGAUAUUCCUCAUCAUUUCCUCCAGACCUUGGAGUCUGGAUUAAAGAAAAUCUGCUGAUUUUGCUGACCUUCACAAAGGUGCCAUGAGGAUGAAGAGAGGGAAUUGUUGCAUCUCGGGCUGGUGUGGG
ensembl:lncRNA